GGUACUAGGACUAACACAACAUCGCAUUAAGCGAAAUAUGUAACCUAAUGAACAUCCGAAGAUUGUCCAGAACAAGUAUUAAUGUAAGUGUCAUCGCUGGGUACUAGGAGUAACACAACAUCGCAAUAAGCGAAAGGUAUAACCUUAUGAACAAUCGAAGAUUGUCCACUUGUCCUCUGUAGCAGCAGCAGGUGGGUGGAGGGGUUAGCCCCGGUUAUCGAUCUACCUAGUAUAAGUAGUAACCUUAGACCUCCGUAGAUGGUCAUCGACCACUGGUGCUAAUCAGUGGGGUUCGGAAUGGUAAGUCCCGCCGAAAUAUCCCAUUGAACCGGGAUAGGAAAGAUAAUUUACACAGAAAGUACUAAUAAAUCAUCCUCGUAGUUCUAAGUACAAGUAUCCAGGUAAGUAAAUACAGGAUAAUGCACCUAUGUAAAAGUGUUCCUGUAUGGUAUUCAUGUAAGUGUGUUCAUGUAACAGGUAAGUAUAUGUAAACAUAUUCAUGUAUCAUGUAAUCCUAAGUAAGUGUACUCAUGUAUCAUGUAAGGUAUUGGUAUAGACUCAUGAAUGAACUGACUCUUGUGUGAUUCCUUGUAGUAGUAAUAAUGUUUGAUAUCUUCUAACUAUCCCUAUGAUAGUUAACUGAAAGGUAAUUGGUUGUUUACGUAGGUUUAUGCACUCUUGCUACCCAAGAGUAUUGGAAACUAAAUGAAGGGUGAAAACUAUAAUCUCUAACAUAUAUAUGAACAUAUGCGCAUAAGUAUAGUUUGAUUCAAGAAGGUAAAAUAAAGGUUUUUGCAAGAUAUCUAGGAGUUUUGAACAAUAAUUAAGAAUGACUUGAUGUCAUUUUAAUAACAUUUCAAAACUAGUACUUUUGUUAUCAAGGUAUUUUAAUAUAGAAAACCACUUCACGUGUCACCUUUUGAAAUAUGUGAAAUCUACUGAGUGAAAACACAGUUAUAAAAUACAUAAGAUUGAUUUAAUAACAUACUGUUUUCUACUUGUAUCCCCCCCAUUAAAACGUUUAAAAUCAUUUAAAACAUUGAUUAAGGGGUAUGAACUCACCUGUAGUUGGUAGUUUAGAUGAACUGGACGGUGUAGGAUUGUUAGGCGUCAAGUGAGGACUUGUACACACACUACGAUCCUAAUGAACAUAUAAUCACACAUAUAUGCACUCAAUUAGUCUCAAAUUACUAAUUGAUAAUGUUAAGACAUCCUAGACAUAAUAAACACUUUAUAUAAGUGUUUUAAGCCCUAAGGAUUGCAUCUAAGCUAUUGUGGGACAAGGCACUUGUGUUUAGGGUUCCAAAGGACCCUAUAUAUGAGUUUACUCUCCAUAUAUCAAUACACAUGGAGUUUACGGUUGUAAACCCUUGAGUUUAUGGCCGUAAACUCCCAACCAUGUGUGUAUUGUGUGUUUUGAAGUUCCAAAUGAUUCCUAGAAUUGUUCCAACUUGGUGAUUAAAUUCUUGUAAGGGUUUAAGGCAUAUAAACACCCCUUUAAGGAGUUUACGGCCUUAAGGCCAUUUCCCUUAAGAGUUUGCGGCCGUAAACUCUUAAGGGUGGGUGUUUUUGAUGUUUUCAAGCCUCAUGCACAAGGGGUAUAGGUUCUAGGCUUUUAUUCCAAGCAUAUGAAGACUCUUGACACACUUUGGUGUCCUUAAAUCAUGUUUACGGCCCAUGAACCAUGUCAUGGCCGUAAACUCAUUUUGAAAUGUGUUAUUGAUGUGUUUAAGGUCCUUGAUUUAAUGGGAACAAGUCUAGGUAAAACUAAGGCCUUNCCAUUUUGAGCAUGCUUUUGGAGUUUACGGCCUAAGAUACUCUUGGGCGGUGAACUCCCAAACUUGGGUGAUUCUUUCUUGAGUUCAUGUCCCUAAUACACUCUUAUACAAGUCCAAGGCAGUAGUAUAUCACGAGGGACAGUCUAGGCUCGGUUUCGGGAGUUUACCGCCCAAGAACACCUUGGGGAGUAAACUCCUAAAUCUAAUGAUUUAGCUAUGUAAUCUAUGUUAUUAACAUAUUUAAAGCAUUCUAACACUACUAGAAAGAGUUAAUCNUGUUUUGGUAUAAAAACCCGAAGAUCCGUGAGAGAGAAAAUGGCUUUUCUCUAGUUGGAAAUGUGAAUAAUGAAUGAAUUUGGUUCAGAAUUCUAUUUAUAGUCCUGAGAUAUUUUUGGCAGAAAAUAUUUUUAUUCCCGAAAUGAUCUCUAAUAUAAUAGAAUGUUGGAAUAACAGUGUUGCACAAAACCCUAGUGCAUCCACUCUCCGGAUAUUUCCUGAAGUGUAAACCCUGAUGUAUUAAAACUUAAACGAAAAAGUCUGAAGAUUAACUGUGACUGUUACAACUUCUAUGGAAUUGAUAUUGUUUGUACAAAAUGGAAAUUUCGGGUUGUCACAUCGUCUCCUCGUUAGAAGGAAUUUCGUCCUAAAAUUAGAAUUUAAGCAAGUAAGUAUGUACGAAUGAUCGAGUCGUUAUGUGAACUUCCUAAUCGAUUGGUUCUCGCACUCCUAAGUGAAAUCGGGUUCUCGGUUGGUAUCCCAACGAACCUUCACUAACGGGCGAUGGCGUUGCUUCGUCCGCUUGACCUCUCGGUAGAGGGUCACUACGGUCCUAAUACGAAGGCAAGGAUCUCGUAAAUCUCGAUCUCGUCGAGAGGGAUUACGAAAGUCCUAAUGGAAGGAUAUUGUUUCAAGUUCGAGACGCGAAGGGGAAAAUGUAUGUUACUGAGUUCGCGGAGUAGGUCUAGUUUGUGAAAUGCAGGACCGAUUCUGGUAAGAAAAUCGGAGGUCCCAACUAUAUUGGAUUUUAGCUUCCCACACUUUACGAAGCGUAUUAAGCCGUUCCCAGAGUGAGGUUUCCUAAAGAAUUUGGUCUCUCACUUGGAAUUCCAAAGGUUCUUUCUUUCGCUUACUUCCCAGUCACGGGCCAUCCCUUGCUGGGUCAAAGUCGAAUGGGUUUCUGAAAUUUGUGGGGAGUUCCGAAUGGACUAUGAUAGUAGGUCUGUAAGACCUAGAAUUUGGCAAAUUUUCCGUCGGUGACUACGGUGCCGACAAAUUCCCAACGGUUUUGGAUAAUUUGACAAAGUACUCAAGAAUUUCCACAACACUAAUAGUGUGUCUGAGGAAAUUUGACUUUAAAUUCCAAAACUCUUGAUUAGAGAACUUUGCGAAAAGUAUCUCCGAGGGUAAUGUUUCUAUGGGUUCUUUCUUACUACGAGGGUAGAUAAGUAAGCCAUUACAUGGAGAAAUGACGAACUGAUCCCAGUAAGAAAUGCGUACUCCACUCAUUUAGCUCAUGAAUACUAUGGACGUAUUGGUCCUAUCUGAGGGGUAUCACUACGGACUCGAAGUGUCCGUAUCGAGUUCGGAGGGUAGUCUUUAGGACAUCCUUCCCUAACACUCAAACUGGUGAUAUUCGGAUCUCAGGUCCAUUUCUGAAAGUAAUACUCUCCCUGUGGUUGUUCAAUCAGUUCGUUUACUCGAGGUAGAGACAACGAUUUCUAAAGGAAAUCUUAAUGAAGUCUCCGGUCGUCGAGGUACAUAAGAUGCACCUCCUCGACUUCUGGUAAUAAUAAGGCCGGAGCUCUCAAGGGUGAGAAGCCUGGUCUUCUAAUUCUAUUUUUGAGUAGUUCGUUUUGUUGUUCGGGCUGUUCUUGUAUCUUCUAUAGGUGUUUAGAUUGAAGGCGAUCUGGUUAAAAGAGUCAUACUGGUUCCUAAGUUUGUUCACAUGCUACAUGUAAUUACUCAUAGUCUUGGGCAAUCUCUGUCCUGAAGUUGAUAUUAUAAUUUAUACAUGGUUCAAUGAUCACAAUUUCGUGUGUACGAGUCGUAUAUAACUAAGGUUGAAAGGUAGUCGAAUAACUGAUUCUUCCUUAACCUCACAUCCCAUCGAGGGGAAAAGAAGUCAUAGUGAAAUCAUCAGUUCUAAACCGGUAGAACAUUGAUUAUAUAUCACUCUCAUGUAUACAUUCUUCAGUGAUAGGUCAACCGUAUGAAUCCUGGAAUUGAACUUGACGUACUACACGAGUAAUACUGUGGGGAUUCCUUUGGAAAGAAAAAGGACUAUAAGGUACUUCUUGUAUGAGUACUUCGGUGUUCUGAUAUAACGGCUUUGCUAAAAGACGAUUUCUGAGAAAGUGAUGUACUUAUGAAGCUGGUAUUGUGAGGAUCAAAUUUACUCGAGUCGUAUGAUAAAGUCGGAAACAUAUGGAAACUAAAGACAUUAGAUUUGAACAUAAGGCGUUACAGACAAAACACAACAGUGCAACCAUUAACAAAGUUACUGUACUUAGGAUUUAUUACAAGACUAUUGCUGCGAAACAAGGUAUACUACAAAAGACAAGUAUAUGCAGCACGAGAGUCCCUUAACGGACGGAAUCUCACAAAAGAUAAGACUCUGGUUGCACUAGUUUUUAAACAUGUUUUUGAACAUACUAAAUACUGACGAUUUGGAGGGAACCUAUACUAUAUUAGGGUCCUUAACUGCCUCUUUGCAUUCUGAGGUCAAACUCCUCUGGAUUUGCCGUUGUCCUUCUCCGAUGGACAGUCCCUCUUGAAGUGUCCCAUGACGCCACAUAGAUGGCAUAUCUGAGAGGUUUGGACAUUGGUGGUUGAAGAAAUUUGUUGGAUCUAGAUCCUGCAGUAACUAGCAGUAUGUCCAUUCCUGUUGCACUUAUAACAGUGUAACAGUCGGCAACUACCUAGAUGAUGAAAGCUACACUCAUAGCACUUCGGUAGGUUUCCGGCAUAUUGUCUGGCUGGUGUAGGGACAAUUGGGACACCCGAAGAAAUGGUAGUAGGUGGUGCAGAUGUCGUAGCUGUGUUCUUAUUCACCCCUCGAAGCGAUUUGUUAUUCCUUUUGGCCCAAAACUUCCGGCUGUUACUCUUGGCCUCGGCACUCGGGGUAUCGUGGUAGUUUGUUGUUCGUUGAGGUGCUUGGUUGUUGUUUGGAUUGAAAUGGUUGUUAACAAUACUGCUAACACUUGCGUUGUUAGCGUUCAGAUGGGUCAGAAUAGCUGACACGGCAGCCGAGACUGCAGCUUGAAAGGUAGCUGCAUCAAUCUGAAGAGUUGGUGUUUGGUUGAUGGGCUGAUCGUUUUUCCUGUGAGACAUGAUUCUGUUACACCGAAAGAAAAUGAAUUUGUGAGCGAGAAUGGUUGAACCUAGACGUAGUUCGAUCGCUCAUGUAAAGAAUAGGGGUACGUUCUCUAAGGUUCGACCUACAUCCCUAUGAUGCAGUCCUAGUACGGAAUGGAAGUAAGUUCACGAAGGUUUGACCUACAUCCCUAUGAUGCAGUCCUAGUACGGAAUGGAAGUAAGUUCACGAAGGUUUGACCUACAUCCCUAUGAUGCAGUCCUAGCAAAGAUCGGAAGUAAGUUCAUGCAAUGGUCUCAAGAUGUUUGUCCUUCUAGCUGAGGUAUCGUUCGUUGGCGAAUAACGUGAUCCAACCAUUGAAAGAGACUUGGAGAUGUCGUCGGAGUUAAAUUGCUAUAGUCCAAUGACUUGACUAGAGCAUGUUUCAAAUAGACUCUAAAAAAAGUAUGAUAAGAGUAUUCGAAUAAAGAAUGACUCAGAAGUUAGCCGACUGUCAAUAUCUUUGAUAUUCAUGACGUACAGGUUCGGGAAAAUGACCUUUUAAAAAGGUCUUACAUCAUAUCCAGAGAAGAUAGUUCUUGACAGCGUAAAGGGCCUAACUAAAGAACUUACAGUACAAGAUAGUUUCAUAGAAAAUACCACAUCGGGCAUAGACAAGAAGACGAUUCCUUUCUAAUAAGGAAAAAUAAAGUAAAGUAUCUACUACUAGCGACGGUCAUCCCUCUGGUGAACUCUCAGUUCAGCCAGUUGGCGUUCCACAUCAAGUAGGUGUCUUUCGUACACUCUCUGGCGCACCCGAAGUUCCAUGACUUCGGCUCGUGAUUCAGCCAGUGCUUGCAGCAGGGUUUCAUAGUCUCUCUCAGACCUCUCACGAGCAUGUUCAAGGCGACUGGUGCGAAGCAUAUGCAUUCCUCCAUUUGUAUCGACUUCUGCGAUACGUUGUAGAGCUGUCCUGCCCUGAAUUUCGUUUCGGGCAACUCUUCGGAUCAGAAUUGGCAUGAUUCUAUCUGCUGAGCCCCCAUUGCUCAGGUUAUAGAAGCUUCGGUCACCAUUAAAUGGCAUGGGCUGAUCUUGUCCUUGGCUCCAUGUUUCCAAACAUUCCACCCACUCAGGCGUCGGGCCAUGAAAAGCCGGACGAGGGUUAGGAAUUGGAAAGGGAGCUGCCUGGGGUAGGUUCUCAACCUCGGGUUCGGAGAUGGCAUCGUCUGAAAGGUCUUCAGCAUGGUGAUCAUUCAGAGGGAUUGGAUGAUCAUUAUCUGGUUCUUCUCCAAACCAUCCAGCAAUAACCGCGUUCGGAAGGAACAGGUUGUCGUGGGGAUGGAAUCCAGCCAUGUUAUCUACGCGAGAAUUUGGGGUAAGAAAAUAAUUAUUAGACGAACUAUCUAGAUAAUUAUUUAGGAAAUCUUCAUUAGUUCCAUCGCUAUUUGUAAAGUGCAUACCAGUUAUAUGUAAUCAACACAGGAUAGGCCUUCGAAUAAGUGACCUUAACUCCAAAUUCACAAGGAAUAAGGGUAAAGCAAAAAUUUCACCGAUUCUAAGUCUAUAACAUCCUAGUUAUAUAUAACUUUGGCGUAUCCACUUAGCAAUUAUCAACUUAGGAAUGAAGAUCCCAUUUUAGUUCUCAAGUAUAAAGUACUUAUAGUAACACAAAACACCCCUAUGGUAUUUUAGACUUAGGUUCUGUUAUAAUGUUCUCAUUGUGGUGAUGUUGGUAAGUUUUUAGACUUGUUGCCAUAUCACAACCAUUCUUGGGCAUGUGCUAAUCAAUCUUUGGAACAACAUAGUUGAUCAGGCUAUGCCACUCCCAAGACUGACUAUACAUCCCCGAGCUUACCUGUGAUAUUCAACAAUCGUAAUACUUUUGUUCUUGUCAUUGUGACACUGAUUUUAGUAUGAAUGCAGGCACGUAUACUUUGUUAAAUAUUUUAUUAUUUAAAAGUAUAUUCUCUUAGACAGAGUGUAUUAAUUCCUAUGUAUUUAUAGUUAGUAUAUCUUUUAUGGGUUGAUAUACUUAAUUCACUAUAAACAAUGCUCUGAUACCAAUCUGUGACACCCCAAAACCACGAACGGCGGAAACGUUCAGGGGUGGAGGACGUCAUGUACAGUAUCACAACAGUGUAAUAUAAUAAACAAGCAACAACAUCAUCAAUUGCAUUAUAAGUAGAGUUUUAAUACAUGUAUGUUCUUUCAUUGUAGUAAGACACCAAAAAUAUACAAUCAAAAUAAAAGACGAGACUUGUCUGCUCCGUCUUCUCCAAACCUUGCCAACGUACCUGUCUACUGUUGACCUGAGAAUACAAGUUAUUUUGAAAGAGAGUAUCAGCUUUAAAGCUGGUGAAUUCAUAAAUAAUUAAGUUUCAUUGUCUUGCUUAUGAAAAUCUAUUAUGAAGGCCAUGUAAACCUUUAAUGAAAAUGUUGAUGUAAGUAUGAAAAACCCUAGAAAAUCCCUUAUUUUCUAUAAGUAUGAAAUGUAGUCUUCUACCAAGACCCGAAUGUUUUGUUAUGACAAUGUAGUCUUCUACCAAGACCCGAAUGUUUUGUUAUGACAAUGUAGUCUUCUACCAAGACCCGAAUGUUUUGUUAUGAUAAUGUAGUCUUCUACCAAGACCGAAUGUUUUGUUAUGAUAAUGUAGUCUUCUACCAAGACCCGAAUGUUUUGUAAGUAACCUGAUAGUUUUUCCUUCAAUUGUUUAGUACUAAAGUACUUACUCUAACUCAUCGUUUAUGUGAAAGUAUCACAAAAUAAAGUAAACAGGAAAAUGUACUACUAUAAGUGUUGUCACUGGGUACUAGGACUAAUACAAUAUCGCAUUAAGCGAAAUAUGUAACCUAAUGAAUAUUCGAACGUUGUCCAGAAAAAGUAUUAAUGCAAGUGUCAUCGCUGGGUAUUAGGAGUAACACAACAUCGCAAUAAGCGAAAGGUAUAACCUUAUGAACAAUCGAAGAUUGUCCACUUGUCCUCUGUAGCAGUAGCAGGUGGGUGGAGGGGUUAGCCCCGGUUAUCGAUCUACCUAGUAUAAGUAGUAACCUUAGACCUCCGUAGAUGGUCAUCGACCACUGGUGCUAAUCAGUGGGGUUCGGAAUGGUAAGUCCCGCCGAGAUAUCCCAUUGAACCGGGAUAGGAAAGAUAAUUUACACAGAAAGUACUAAUAAAUCAUCCUCGUAGUUCUAAGUACAAGUAUCCAGGUAAGUGAAUACAGGAUAAUGCACCUAUGUAAAAGUGUUCCUGUAUGGUAUUCAUG
rnacentral:lncRNA from 1 species